rnacentral:rRNA from 1 species
UACGGGAGGCAGCAGUGGGGAAUAUUGCACAAUGGGCGCAAGCCUGAUGCAGCCAUGUCGCGUGUAUGAAGAAGGCCUUCGGGCCGUAAAGUACUUUCAGUCGUGAGGAAGGUGUUAAGGUUAAUAACCUUAGCAAUUGACGUUAGCGACAGAAGAAGCACCGGCUAACUCCGUGCCAGCAGCCGCGGUAAUACGGAGGGUGCGAGCGUUAAUCGGAAUUACUGGGCGUAAAGGGCACGCAGGCGGUUAAUUAAGUUGGAUGUGAAAUCCCCGGGCUUAACCUGGGAAUGGCAUUCAAGACUGGUUAGCUAGAGUCUUGUAGAGGGGGUAGAAUUCCAUGUGUAGCGGUGAAAUGCGUAGAGAUGUGGAGGAAUACCGGUGGCGAAGGCGGCCCCUGGGACAAAGACUGACGCUCAUGUGCGAAAGCGUGGGGAGCAAAC